rnacentral:rRNA from 1 species
UACGUAGGGGGCUAGCGUUGUCCGGAAUCAUUGGGCGUAAAGCGCGCGUAGGCGGCCCGGUAAGUCCGCUCUGAAAGUCCAGGGCUCAAACCCUGGAAAGCGGGUGGAUACUGCCGGGCUAGAAUCCGGAAGAGGCGAGUGGAACUCCUGGUGUAGCGGUGGAAUGCGCAGAUAUCAGGAAGAACACCAAUAGCGAAGGCAGCUCGCUGGGACGGUAUUGACGCUAAGGCGCGAAAGCUAGGGGAGCAAACGGG